GACGAACGCUGGCGGCGUGCCUAAUACAUGCAAGUUGAGCGAUGAAGAUUGGUGAUUGCACCAAUUUGAAGAGCAGCGAACGGGUGAGUAACGCGUGGGGAAUCUGCCUUUGAGCGGGGGACAACAUUUGGAAACGAAUGCUAAUACCGCAUAACAACUUUAAACAUAAGUUUUAAGUUUGAAAGAUGCAAUUGCAUCACUCAAAGAUGAUCCCGCGUUGUAUUAGCUAGUUGGUGAGGUAAAGGCUCACCAAGGCGAUGAUACAUAGCCGACCUGAGAGGGUGAUCGGCCACAUUGGGACUGAGACACGGCCCAAACUCCUACGGGAGGCAGCAGUAGGGAAUCUUCGGCAAUGGACGAAAGUCUGACCGAGCAACGCCGCGUGAGUGAAGAAGGUUUUCGGAUCGUAAAACUCUGUUGGUAGAGAAGAACGUUGGUGAGAGUGGAAAGCUCAUCAAGUGACGGUAACUACCCAGAAAGGGACGGCUAACUACGUG
rnacentral:rRNA from 1 species